UUCUUCUUGAGGUCUCUCCUUGAGGACUGAGAGAGAAUUCACUUUCACCCAGUCGAUUGCCAUAGUGUCAUCACUCUGCCUGCUGGCUGGGCAGGGUAACUCCUCAGGUCACCACCUCUCCAGCCUGCCUUGGGCUUGGAGAGUGAGGAGGAGGGCGAGGGACAUCUGCUGACCCUGAACAUCCGCCAUCCAUCAUACCAUCACCUAGAGCAAGGACCCCCAGGGAUUCAGAGGAGGAGGAAUGGCUGGACAUGGCCACAGAUUAAGCUGCUCUCAAGGUCAUCAGAGAGCAGCUCCAGUGCAGAGAAAAG